GGGUGUUAGCUCAGUUGGUUAGAGUGCCGGCCUGUCACGUCGGAGGUCGCGGGUUCAAGUCCCGUACAU
rnacentral:tRNA from 1 species